rnacentral:tRNA from 1 species
CAAGUUAAAGUUUUUGGUAAACUUUAUUAUUUACAUUAAUAUAUGACUUGUUCGAAUCAAGUUAACUUGA